rnacentral:rRNA from 1 species
GACGAACGCUGGCGGCGUGCCUAAUACAUGCGAGUAGAACGCUGAAGGAGGAGCUUGCUUCUCUGGAUGAGUUGCGAACGGGUGAGUAACGCGUAGGUAACCUGCCUGGUAGCGGGGGAUAACUAUUGGAAACGAUAGCUAAUACCGCAUAAGAGUAGAUGUCGCAUGACAUUUGCUUAAAAGGUGCAAUUGCAUCACUACCAGAUGGACCUGCGUUGUAUUAGCUAGUUGGUGAGGUAACGGCUCACCAAGGCAACGAUACAUAGCCGACCUGAGAGGGUGAUCGGCCACACUGGGACUGAGACACGGCCCAGACUCCUACGGGAGGCAGCAGUAGGGAAUCUUCGGCAAUGGACGGAAGUCUGACCGAGCAACGCCGCGUGAGUGAAGAAGGGUUUCGGAUCGUAAAGCUCUGUUGUAAGAGAAGAACGAGUGUGAGAGUGGAAAGUUCACACUGUGACGGUAUCUUACCAGAAAGGGACGGCUAACUACGUG